AGGGCUGCAGUCCAGGGGCAUAGGCAGGGUGACUCCUUCCUGGAGGACGUCCCGUUACCCCGAAAGGACCGGCUGCCGGCAGCGUGCAAAGUUCUCCAGCCUAAGCGAGGUUCUAGCCAGCCAAGGCGUUGGGAAAGACGGGGCAAUUGUGCACUCCCUGCCUUCCUGAGACUCUAGCCUAGCCCGGGGCUUACAGGUGACAGUUACCUCCCCAGCACGUGCAGAGCUGAAGGGUCCUUGAGAUAACAGCAGGUACGUUUCGCUGGGCUUCAGGAGAGUCAGCCCCUACGACAGUGCCCAGAGUCACGUGCCCAUCAUGCUCAGGUGUUAGCUAUGGAAAUUAGAGUAACGUGUUUUACAGUACAUAGAGUUAGUAUUCGGGAGAGGACCGCCGCCCACCGCACACAGCACGACGGUUUCUCAGUUUCAGCUGACUUUUGAAGAGAAAUGUUUUUGCCUCAGAGUUUUCGGAAACAUCUCCUUGAUAAAGGUGUGCCUUAGUUACUUUUCUCAUUGCUGAUUCAAAAUACCCAACAGCCAAAGUCAAAGGCUCACAGUUUGUCAAGAUUUCAGUCCAUAGUCCAAACCAGCAUGGCAUGGCAGAGGGACAUCACAAAGGAGAACCAGCUUACAGCAAGCCAGCAGGAGACAAUGAAGCAGCAAGCAGUGAAACAGCAGAAGCAGCCUUCUUGCGGCCCCUUUAUAUUCUAUCCAGGCUGUAAACCCAGGGUGGGGCAGCCUUAAUCCCAGCAUCACAUCCUUAAUCUCAGUAUCACACACUCUAGAUCCAGCCACCUUCAAAAAGCCCCACCUAUCACUUUAUGAGUUUUGGGGGGAACAUCGAGAUAUAAGCCAUAACAAGGUGGAAUAAGAAAGUAUAGGAAAUGUUCUCUUUCACUAACUGAUUCCGAAAUUAUUCAUUUAGAAACAUUUGAAAAUCAAGUGGAAGCUUCAGAACUAGGUGACUCCAAUGUGAUCAAAACCGAAAACAGCUGGAACUAACCGUCCUUAAACUGGCAUGCUGGAGAUGGGUGUGGCUACACUACAGGUAAUAGUCAUGGGAAAGAUCAAGGCGGAGUCACCUUCAGGUACAGAAUUUCACAGACUGCUCAGUCUCUAGAUGAGGGGAGUACCUUCAGGAAAGAGCUUUAAAAUCUAAUUUUCCAUUAAGGUACAUAUUGAUUGAUUUUAUAUUGAUUUAUUGAUUGUGGAUUUCAUUCAUUCGUGUAUUUGUUUAUUCAUUCAAAAACCAUAUCUGAGUGCCUGUCUGCCAUGUAUCAGGCCUGGGCAAGACUUUGGUAUUAGCACAGUAACCAAGCCAGGCAGGAUCUCUGACCUCCGGGAGCAUGUAUUUGAGAGAAAGCCAAUAAAACAACCAAUAAAUAAAUAAGUAGACUGUGAUAAAUGCCAUAAAGCAGAUGGAUAACAUGGUAUGGUGUUAAUAAUCAAGCUAGGCAUCCUGAAAUAACAAGUUGCCCAGCUUUGGUUUUCUAAUGCUUUACUUUCUGUACCUUCCCUAACUCACCUUUAAAAUAAGUCAUCAGACAAUCACUGUAUUUGUGCUUUUGUUAUUGCAAAUAAACUGGCCCCCUCACUAUCUUAUUUUAAAGUGUCUCUUGCAUGUUAGAGUUCUUUAAAGUAGAUCGCACUUUACAAAUAAAUCAUAGGAUCAUUUCUUUUAAACUUUUUAUAUGUAUAAAAUAUGUUUCAAGAUCAUUAAAAAGGUGUUGGCUGCAUUCAAAUGAGUGAUGUUAAUUCCCUGAAAUAGUAUUGGCAGAAAAGAUGGGAAAUAAAAUCAGCCAACAACUAAGUUAUGGACUAUGGGAGAAUGUCAUAACCUCAUCUUCGCCCAGGACAUCUUGCUUUGCGGCAGCCAGCACUCUGACCCUCCUUCAGGUCUGGCUUUCCAGGACUGAUUCAAGGUUACAAGGAGUUCACCUUGGGAUCUUAUCUCUAAUUUUUUUUUUUUUGGUAUCAGGGAUCGAACCCCAUCUUAUCUCUAAUUUGCCUCAUUCAUAUAAAUGUUGCCUGGCUGAGAUGAGUCAGACCUUUAAAAUGAUAUUUAUAUGGGUUUUUAUGAGUUCUUUGUCUUAGAAUAUAAGUUAAAUUGCUUGUCUAUGUAAAUGCUGUCUUCAAUUUUUGUUUUUACUGCAACAUAAAUGAGAUUUAUAUGAAUUAAAGUCAACAAGAAGGCUCCCCACCCAAAGCCCAUGCCCAAACAAUAAAUUAUAACUAGUAUUUAAAACAACCAGUCUGGUGUUGAAGAAACUGAGUGGCUUUUUCCAAGUAGAAGAAAGACAGGAGAAGUUUUCAAUAUUAAUGAGCAGUUCUGCUUUAAUUCUGCUGGGAGGCAUGCUGACGGCACACAAGGCUGUGUUAUAUUGGGUUGCAACAUCUGUCACUGGCUAACAUAGAAGCUAAUCUUUUAUUUCAUAUUUAGAUUUAUCAAUAUGCAUUAAAAACCCUCCAUUUUUGCAAGUCUUUCUGGGAAAGAUGUACUUUAUCUUGGUUUUUUAGUUUUUUCUCUUUCUAAAAAUAAAAGUUCAAUUUAAAACACAUUUGUCACUGGGUAGCAGGCAACAUCUGGCAGCAGGUGGUAAGAACUUGUUAUACAUGCAGAUGACCAAACAGCUUUUCUCCAAGGGAAGCUUAGAGUUGGUGAGAGAGGGGCUCGGAAUUUAAAUUUAAAUUCACCAAUUCCCAUUUUGAGCCACCCCCACCUACAAGAACAUUUAGAAGAUAGUGCUCUGUCAUUCCAUUAGGAUAGCUGCUCAGUCUUUGUAUAUUUCCCUGGGAGGGGCUAUAAAGCCUGAUCCCCAGAGUCUAGGCCUUUAAACCAGGAUCUCAUUGCCUGACCUGCUUAGGAGUCCAGGCACAUGCACAGUGUCUAAAGGUCUAAGCAAAAUGAUAGGAGGCCUGGCCCCAGCGAAAAUCUAAUGAUUUCGUCUAUCUGUAGCAGAAAAUGAAUACAGAAGGGAUUUCUUCCUCCAGAUCCACUUUGAGGUUCCUGUGUAUAUUGAAAGUGUAAGAAAUGUGCAGUGUCACCCAUUGCUGCUUAUUUCACAUUUAUAAAACAUGAAUAUUCCCAAUGUGAACUUUAUAACAACUGACAUAUUUUAUCAUAUUCAGUCUCUCAGUGAUUCACAAGGGAAUUAGUGUACCUUUCAUUUUUUUUUUUUUCAUGUAGGCAAGGAAAUUAGAAUGAAUCUAUCAGAUUUAAUUCAAUUGAGCCCAUAGCCAAAAGAAGUCAAAGAAAAAAAAUCAAAUACUGGGUCUAAAUUAAAACUAUUUUCAUCUAGAUGGAAUGGUAUUACCAGCUCUUCUGCCUCCAAGAAAUAGAAAUAUAAAGAAUAAACUUCUGAAAUCUCUGAAUCCCAGCAGAAAUACAGGCUGGCAGAACACAUACAGUGUCCUGCUCCCUCGGCAUGAAUUUGCUGCUGACUGAAGGUUGCAGUGAAGGUGAGCAACUGCUCAGAAACCAGGACUGGUUUUAUCCUUUCCUAGUGGCCAGGUUCUUGGUCUUUUGGAGAACACCUAAGGGUUUACUACCUGUUGGACCACAGACUUCAAGCCAGCAAACAUUUUCCAGUAAGGAAUGGAGUCUGAGAGCCACAUCCUGUCCCCAAGUCCCACUAUUUUCAAAGUUUCAACUAAUGGCUCGAAUCUAAUCCCAUAGGCACAUAUUUUGUCAACCUGUAUUUUGAAGACAGUGGAACUCAUCAGCUAUAACCUAAAGCUGAAUGUAGCCAGAAAACAGUAAGAAAACAGGCAAGAAUUUUUCUUGUCCCUUUUGUCUAUGUUUCCAACUUUUCUUUCCACAGUCUCAUCUACUUCUGAGUUCUUUUAAUUGCCUUUUGACUAUGACUGUGUCCACUGUGUAUCAAGGAAUUUAAUCACUUAGUCUGGACUUUGCUUCUGGGAGCCUAAAGACACUAUUAGAAAUAUAUUAUAAAGCGUGGUAAUAUCACAACCAAAACAAAUUGCCAAACUCAAAAUCACAGGAAAGGACACAUGGACAUAAUCUCUACUCAUAAAAAGUAUUAUUGCUUGGGAAAUUUUUUCUUUAUUAACUUUGUAUUUUGACAUCAUUUUAGGCUUUAAAAAUUUAAAAAAUGUAGAUUGUAUAUCUUUUACCUAGAUUCCCCAAAUUUUAAUGUUUUAUACAAUCACAGUGAUGUGAAUAAAAUUAUCAAAAUCAGGAAAUUAACUUGAUACAAUGCAAUUAUCUAAUCUUCAGACACUCAAAGUUUGUCCAUUGUCCCAUUAAAGUUCUUUUUAUGGCCCAGAAUUCAAUCAAGAAUUUCAUGUUAUAUUUAAUUAUACUUGUUCAUAGUUUCCUUUAAUUUUUUUUUUCUUUUUGUACCUGGGAUUGAACUCAGAACCUUGCACUUGCGAGGCAGGCACAGCACCACUGAGCUAAAUCCCAGCCCUAUAGUUUCCUUUAAUUUACAAUGCUUCUUUAGUCUUCCUUUGCCUUUCAUGACCUUGACACUUUCAAAGGGAAGUGCCCCUCAAUUUGGGCCCAUCUGAUGGUUCUUGGUGGUUAGAUUCAGUUGUACAUUUUGAUGCAGGUUUCAGGACAUUGAUAUAUCCUGUUACUGGUGAGAUUAACUCUAAUUCUUUGGUUAAGGUUGAGCAGUGGUUACCACUAUGGUUACCUUUUCCUCUUUGCAAAUACUAAGUAUCCUAUAAAGAGAUAUUUUGAGACUAUCCUGUUCCUCAUCAUACAUUCACCCAUUACUUUCAGCAUCAUUUGAUGAUUCUUAUCUGAAACAAUAAUGACUGUGAUGUUUUCCAUAAGGUGAUUUUCUAAUUUCAUUAUUUCUUUUUAUGUAUAUUUAUUGGAAUUAUAUGAACAGGGAGAACUCUUUCUCCUCUAUUUAUUUAUUUAUUUAUUUCAUGUCAAACAUUUCAAUGUACUUUGAACUGUCUGUAAGGAUACCUGACACAUGAGUACCACCAUCCUUGUAAGAUUAGACACUAAAAUCGAUGUUCCUCAGCACAGGAGAGAGGCCUAACAUGACCUCACUGACCCCAUGUACCUCACUGCACCUGAUCACCCCACACAGCUGGUUUCUCACCUGAUCAUUCCUGCUUACACUGUACCCUCCCCAACUUGCCUACAACCUCUUGUCUUCUGUUUUUUGGUUUUGGUUUUGGUUUUGGUUUGAGACCAGGUCUCCCUAAGUGGUCUAGGCUGGCCUGGAAUUUACAAUUAUCCUUCCUCAGCCUCUCAAAUGCUGAGAUUAUAGACCUGCACCAUGAUGCCUGCCUCCCUACUAUUUCUUCCCUAGGUCGGCAGAUCAAAGGCAUCUCACCAGGAGGUUAUUCCUUGGCCCUUAGACAUUCCCAACCUGGCUACCUGAGUGUCCUUCUAAGUCCUUUCAUGAUAUUAUUUUUAAAUUCUUCUGCUGCUCUUACAUACUGUCCUAUACUGGUCUGUUUAUGUGAAUCUCCUCAAAGAGGCUCUAAAGUUCCAGAGGACAUAGAUUAUCUUAGACUCCACAAGAAAGAUGGAAGCAACCCUAUGGCAUUUGUGGUUCUGCCAACAGGAAUAUUCUUUAGCCUGCAUGGUCUGUGUACAGAAAUUUUUGGAAGCAAAGGGAUAUGGUCUUCUGUCCCUUUUUUUUCUUCCCUCAUCCAUUAUAAUUUGAUUCUCAGGUGCCGGGGAUUUAGCUCAGUGGUUCCACCACCUUCCUGGAAAGCACAAGGUCCCGAGUUUGAUCCCCAGUACCAAAAAACAGAAACAACAACAAUAAUUUGGUUCUCAAAUUGCCAUGGCAAUCAACAGUCGUGGAGCACAGAUUUAUGUAUUCACUUAGCCAUGAAGACACAAAAUUUGAAGGAUUUGUCAUAUCUCCUGAUCGUGCCUCAGAAGUUGAGGGCUUAUCUUUCAGGUGAGCAGCCAUCAGGGUAGGCUACAGACUGGGAAUGUGUGUGUGUGUGUGUGUGUGUGUGUGUCUGACCACAUGCUCUUCCAACCUUACAUAAUAGCUAAAGCAGUAUGGCAAAAUGUAGAUUAAAUAUGCCAUGAGUUGGUGGGGUGAUGGCCAUAUAAGUGAUAUAAGCUCUCUGGAAAAUAAUUUGGUGUGCACUAAAAUAAGAUUCAAAUAUAUUUCUGAACUUAUGUCCAUAGUUUCAACAUAUAAAAAAAGAAUGACGGCCAGAGAUUUAGGUGGUUUCCCCACCUGCUGCUCAAGCGCAAGGACCAGAGUUCGAUCCUCAGUACCAAAAAAAAAAAAAAGAAUGACACAUGUAGCCAGAUAUUUAUGGAAAAGCAAAUGGAUUUAUUGCAGAUUUAUACCUAAUGGUCAUUCAUAGGACCACGUUUAAUGGUCUUAAUACUCUAAUGGUCAUUAAUCACCUAACCUAAUGGUCAUAAAUAUGUGAUCAAUGAAGAGUCAAUAAAAGAAUAGCAAAUAAUUACUGAGUAGCCCUGUAUGAUUACCAUAGGCUAUAUCAUAAAAUUUAAUCUCAGUUUCUCUUCAUGUGACAUAUACAUACAUAUGGAUACGUCUAUAUAUAUAAGUAAAAAGCAAAGAUUAUUUUAAAAUCCACAAAACUGCAUUAGUGAUGGUUAUCCUUAUCCCUGGAUAGUGAGAUCAUAGGCAUAACUGGUUUCAUCUUUAUACUUUCCGGUGUUUUUCAAGUUCUGUGCAAGUAUCGUUUUCUUUCAUUAUGCAAAUUCUUUCAACUGUCAUAUGAUAAAAGAUGAGAGGAAUCUGGUCAUGUUUGUUAGAGAGGAUUAUUAUACAAUGAUACAAGCUUUUAAAGAGAAACUGCCUCUUCUGCCCUUUUCAGGAGAGGGUUGUAUAGGAUGCACUUUUAUCUGAAUGGGACAAUUCAGUGUAGAAAAGGGAAACGUACCCUAGUAAUACUUAAGUACAUGACUCUGUUCUUCUCCCCAACAUCAUUUCUUAGUUUGUUUCUUCUGAAGCCUCAAGGCCUAAUGGAGUCUGAAGGUACAGCCGUACAAUUUCAUGGCAUCUCAAUCUUGAGCAGUGAUUGCUUGAUUGCUCAGACUCAGAGGAGUCCUAUUUGAGAGUCAGCUUGGAGAGCCUAUCAGGGGGUGAUCUCCCUUCUUCCCAUACCUUUUCCAAGGAGAUCAAAACCUCCUUCAAAGGUUAUGCCUGCCACAAUGAGAUGACAACCUUCUCUGAAGGAAAUGUUUUAGGCUCUUCGGCCAACAACCUCCCUACCAUUGAAGAACCUGAGGAAAUAGAGUCUAAGAAGAUGCAUCAACAGGAGAUAUGAAACUCAGGACAAUACAAGCCAAGUUUGCAAAUCAAGCCUCAACUUCAGACUCUGAUGAUGAAGUCUCAGCAGCUGAUCAGAAUGUCACUGGCAACAACCAGCAAAUGGAUAAGAAUCCAAAACUCAGAGGGCACAGAAUGAACCUCAUGAAUAGCUGGCCAGAAAUACAGCUUGUCCUUCCUGAGUCUGCUGAGAAAAGUAAAAAUGAUGACAGUGAAAAUCAGAAGGACAAUGAAGAAAUUGAGAGCAGUGAUGAAGAAUAUCAAGAACCUGAUGAACAUAUUCAGAAAUAUGACAAAGACAAUAGCCUCUAGCUCCAGGAAUCACUCGAGGAAGAUUUCCAGCAGGGCAGCACCUCCCCUCCACAUCCAGCUCAGGUCCCUCAUGAAGACCCCACCCAAGUCCCAGAGAUGCCGCCUAUGCUCAAGGAAGAUGAAGUUGCUGAGGAGAUGGUAAGUGAAAGACCAACAGUCAAAAGACCACCAUAAAGAUUCCUCCUCAGUCCCUCAGUACAGUCAGAGGAGGAGGACGACACUGGCCUGACACACAAACCAUAACCUAUAUGAACUAUAGGCAGGCUUUCUGCUGGCUCCGGAAAAGAGUUCUUGCUUGUUUUGGAGGAGAGUGAUGGUCAGCAGCCCACCAGCAAUCCCAACCAAGAAAAGAAGUUCUCAAGAACUUGUUCCUAAGUUCCAUGAACUUUUCAAAUCACACCAGGAUGCUGCUGCUCCUGUCUUUACAAAGAAGGGGAAGGUGACAGAAGUGUUGCAAGUGGUAAUUGACUGAGGCGGGAGGCCUCAUGUGCGUAGAUUUCUUGGCAUGAAUUGAGUUCAUGUGAGAAAUGGAUAUCUCACACCAAGAGAGUUCCUGAAAGUUGUGAAGAUGCAAUAAGCAGGCCUCUGGCUACCCUGAUCCUUUCCAGAGCAUUAUAGACGCCUCUGAGGCCAUUAGGCUCUGGAGUUUGCUAGCUUUCUUCUGCUUUUGGAAAUACUGCCUUGGCUGCCUGAUUAACUGGGAGAAACAACCUGCACACUAAGUCCAUUGUUCUGAGAGAUUCCUAUAGGAUGUGUUCCUUGGCCAAAGCCAUAUCCCAAGGGGAAUGGCUGUUGGCUUUUUGGCAGGAGAAUAAGGUCAUGCUGCGAUAAGGCGGAGCUCACAGGACUUGCUAAUGGAUCAGAUAUGGUACUUGAAGAGGACGACAGAAAUCAAAGAUGACUCCAAGGAUGUUGUCCUGAGCAACUAGAAGGACAGAGUGGACAUUAACUGAGAUGGCGG
rnacentral:lncRNA from 1 species